rnacentral:rRNA from 3 species
CGAGACCUCAGGUCAGGCGGGG